rnacentral:rRNA from 1 species
UACGUAGGGUGCAAGCGUUAAUCGGAAUUACUGGGCGUAAAGCGUGCGCAGGCGGUUUUGUAAGCCAGAUGUGAAAUCCCCGGGCUUAACCUGGGAAUGGCAUUUGGGACUGCAAGGCUGGAGUUUGGCAGAGGAGACUGGAAUUCCUGGUGUAGCAGUGAAAUGCGUAGAUAUCAGGAGGAAUACCGAUGGCGAAGGCAGGUCUCUGGGCUAUAACUGACGCUCAUGCACGAAAGCGUGGGGAGCAAAC